rnacentral:rRNA from 1 species
GGGUGAGUAACACGUGGGCAAUCUGCCCUGCACUCCGGGACAAGCCCUGGAAACGGGGUCUAAUACCGGAUACGAGCCUCCAUCGCAUGGUGGGGGUUGGAAAGCUCCGGCGGUGCAGGAUGGGCCCGCGGCCUAUCAGCUUGUUGGUGAGGUAACGGCUCACCAAGGCGACGACGGGUAGCCGGCCUGAGAGGGCGACCGGCCACACUGGGACUGAGACACGGCCCAGACUCCUACGGGAGGCAGCAGUGGGGAAUAUUGCACAAUGGGCGCAAGCCUGAUGCAGCGACGCCCCGUGAGGGAUGACGGCCUUCGGGUUGUAAACCUCUUUCAGCAGGGAAGAAGCGCGAGUGACGGUACCUGCAGAAGAAGCGCCGGCUAACUACGUGCCAGCAGCCGCGGUAAUACGUACGGCGCAAGCGUUGUCCGGAAUUAUUGGGCGUAAAGAGCUCGUACGCGGCCUGUCGCGUCGGUUGUGAAAGCCCGGGGCUUAACCCCGGGUCUGCAGUCGAUACGGGCAGGCUAGAGCUCGGUAGGGGGAGAUCGGAAUUCCUGGUGUAGCGGUGAAAUGCGCAGAUAUCAGGAGGAACACCGGUGGCGAAGGCGGAUCUCUGGGCCGAUACUGACGCUUAUGAGCGAAAGCGUGGGGAGCGAACAGGAUUAGAUACCCUGGUAGUCCACGCCGUAUACGGUGGGCACUAAGUGUGGGCAGCAUUCCACGUUGUCCGUGCCGCAGCUAACGCAUUAAGUGCCCCCGCCUGGGGAGUACCGCCGCAAGGGUAAAACUCCCAGGAAUUGACGCGGGCCCGCACAAUCGGCGGAGCAUGGGGCUUAAUUCGACCCAACGCGAAUAAACCUUACCCAAGGCUUGACAUACGCC